rnacentral:rRNA from 1 species
CUACGUAGGGUGCGAGCGUUGUCCGGAAUUACUGGGCGUAAAGAGCUCGUAGGUGGUUUGUCGCGUCGUCUGUGGAAUUCCGGGGCUUAACUCCGGGCGUGCAGGCGAUACGGGCAUAACUUGAGUACUGUAGGGGAGACUGGAAUUCCUGGUGUAGCGGUGAAAUGCGCAGAUAUCAGGAGGAACACCGGUGGCGAAGGCGGGUCUCUGGGCAGUAACUGACGCUGAGGAGCGAAAGCAUGGGUAGCGAACAGGAUUAGAUACCCUGGUAGUCCAUGCCGUAAACGGUGGGCGCUAGGUGUAGGGGUCUUCCACGACUUCUGUGCCGUAGCUAACGCAUUAAGCGCCCCGCCUGGGGAGUUCGGCCGCAAGGCUAAAACUCAAAUGAAUUGACGGGG